GACGUAGGGCGCAAGCGUUGUCCGGAUUUAUUGGGCGUAAAGAGCUCGUAGGCGGUUUGUCGCGUCUGCUGUGAAAUCCCGGGGCUCAACCCCGGGACUGCGUCCGAUACUGCACGGCUCGAGGCAGGUAGGGGAGAGUGGAAUUCCCGGUGUAGCGGUGAAAUGCGCAGAUAUCGGGAGGAACACCGGUGGCGAAGGCGGCUCUCUGGACCUGUCCUGACGCUGAGGCGCGAAAGCUAGGGGAGCGAACAGG
rnacentral:rRNA from 1 species